ensembl:snRNA U4 U4 spliceosomal RNA
AGCUUUGUGCAGUGGCAGUAUCGUAACCAAUGAGGUUUAUCCGAGGCACAAUUACUGCUAAUUGAAAACUUUUCCCAACACACUGCCAUAAUGACUUGAACUAUACUAGGCAUUGGCAAUUUAAUUUUUGACAGUCUCUACGGAGA